rnacentral:rRNA from 1 species
UACGUGUGAGGCAAGCGUUAUUCGUCAUUAAUGGGUCUAAAGGGUACGUAGGCGGUAUAAAGAAUCUUAAAAUAAAUCACAUAAUAGUGAAUAAGAAAUUAAUAUACUAGAGUUAAAAGGAGUAACAAAUACUUUGAGAAGAGAGUUUCAAUACGGAGAUACUCGAAGGGUUGCAAAGCAGCGAAAGCAUGUUACUAUAAAAAACUGACGCUGAGGUACGAAGGCUAGGGUAGCGAUAGGG